rnacentral:tRNA from 1 species
UCCCAUGUGGCUCAGUUGGUAGAGCAUGGUGUUUGCAAUGCCAGUGGUUGUGGGUUCGAUUCCCACGGGGGAC